UUUGAUAUCCGGUAUUCAAUAAGCC
rnacentral:piRNA from 1 species